rnacentral:rRNA from 1 species
UACGGGGGGGGCGAGCGUUGUUCGGAAUUACUGGGCGUAAAGGGUUUGUAGGUGGUCUGCUAAGUCAGACGUGAAAUCCCUCGGCUUAACUGGGGAACUGCGUCUGAUACUGGCGGACUUGAGGACAGGAGAGGAACGCGGAAUUCCAGGUGUAGCGGUGAAAUGCGUAGAUAUCUGGAGGAACACCGGUGGCGAAGGCGGCGUUCUGGACUGUUUCUGACACUGAAAAACGAAAGCCAGGGGAGCAAACGGG